UCUGGUGGCUCAGAUGGUAGAGAAUCUGCCUGUAAUGCAGGAGACCCAGGUUUGACCCCUGGAUCCAGAA
rnacentral:tRNA from 1 species